rnacentral:ribozyme from 1 species
GAAACUUGGACCAGAAGCAGAAAUUGCUGUAUUUGCUCCCAGCACUCGAUUACAUCCGACUCUUUCUGUUGCUGCUGCUA